CUCUCUCUCUCUCUCUCUCUCUUUCUCUCUCCCUCUCUCUCUCUCUCUCUCUUUCUCUCGCUUCCGCUCUUUAUAGAUCGCCGAUAGUUGCUCCAUAUAGUCUCUCGUUAUUUGGAACAUCAAAUGCGUGAUUUGUUAAUUACAUUGCAUCAAUGUGCAAACCACGUCAUGUACACGUUACACUGGCUCAUGUUAAACUCCGUCAGUUUUUGUCCGCGGUAAAAUGCAGAUAACGCCGAUAAAAGUGGCCAAAGCUGAUAACAGAAUCGAUUUUUUUAGCUCGCCAGUGGUUGAUGAAACCGAUAAAAUGCUGGGGCAGUAAUCCGAUCGCGACUAGUCGAUUACAAUGCAAUUAAGAAGAUGCAUUGCAUCACUUAGUUUAUCACUUUACGAUUUAAAUUUAUGUCCGAGCGUUUGUCGUUUACGUGAUAUAUCUGUUUUUGUGACGUACUUGAACCAGGCGAGCUUUCUGCUGAUAUUGAUGCUGUGGGCGUGGUUUCAAUGACGAUGCUGUUGAAUCGCUUUCUGAACGUCCCUUGUCGGCCAUCGGAAUGCCAUAAAUGUCCAGCAAUAGUUGAUCCACCAGCGAGGAAGAGAGAACGAUCGGUGUGGGUACGAAAGAAUACCGCCGACACAUCAAACUGUGCGAAUUUACGAAGAGAAAAGAAAAGUUAUUAACUCGUUCAUUCUACCGUUAUCUCGACAAUAACUGCUUCUACUAUUCGCUUCCUGGUGCCGGCUUUGUUACGUGAGUUUCAUGAGUUUUCACGUGUAUGUGUGUUACGCUUUAAAUCUAGUGUCUAUUCAUCUAUAGCAUAUUUUGCCUCACUUACUGGGGCUUGUAUACCAGAAAAUAGAAAAAAGAAAAUUCAGUCAGGUCUCUCUCGUUUGGCAAGAACUGACUGAAAUUUUUAUAAAAUAAUUUAAAUAUUCUAAUAUGCAAUUAGCUGAUGUGUGCGCUACGUAAUCUCGAAUUUUAUCGUCAUAUAAGAUUGGGAAAUUUCUCGAGGAAGUUAGAGCGACUUUAUGAUCAACUUUGAAUAACUACAUGGUUCAACUUCUACGACUUUUACAUGGUGAUGUCGCAACGAUCUCCAGAGCAAGUAGAAACUCCGUUCAAACUAAAGUUCUUCUUCGUGUUGCCAUCUCGAGAACUCAAACUCCCGGAGUAUCGAUUAAUCUCGAGUUGCAGCGCAUUGUAGGAGCGUUUACCUUGGGCCUCUUGAUAGCCGCGUCAUGAUUGCCGGCAUUCCCGUAAUUAAACGCGAUUGACUCGUCCCCCGUUGAUUUUGAGCGCUUUUGCC